rnacentral:telomerase_RNA from 1 species
GAAGUGAAGAUUAGUGACCCUGGAUGGGCCUUCGUGGGCUUCUAUUUGGGUUUAGUGUUUAAAGCCCAUUUCCUCUUUAUUGUCGUGUACUUAAGCUUUUCUUCUUCUCUGUAAACGAGUAUCAAAAAGAUCAAUCAAAAUCAACAAUCAUCUUCUUCUGAUUUCUCACCUCUUUCUUCUACUUCUCAUCAUAAUUCUGUUAGUUCUUUGAUAAGCCCAUUUCGUGCCUAUCAGACGACAACUAAACCCUACACGCUUACAUAAAAACGCGACCUUUGAGAAUUUUGUCCGGCGACAGAAAUGGCGGGGUUAGGGUUACGGCUAAAGGCGGCAAAAUGGACGUUGAGGAGCGGAUCAGGUGCUGUAUCGAGAGAAUGGUCGUCGGAGAUGGGGAAAGGUGUUCGUCGAUUCUCUACUGAAACAGAGAACGAUGUUCCAACUUCAGGAAUCAGUAGACCACUCGCUGAGAUUCUCAAGGAGCUUAACAAAAAGGUUCCAGAUUCAGUCAUCCGAACUCGAGUUGAAGAUGGGUGCUCCAUCAAAUACAUCCCUUGGUAAUCUCUUUCCUCAGGGUUUAGGGUUCUUUAAUUGGGGUUUUUGGGUCAAUACUUAUACUCUUUUCUUGUGUUGAUUCUCAGGCACAUUGUGAAUCGGAUCAUGAAUAUGCAUGCUCCAGGUUUGCUAAACCCUCUCUUGUUCUUCUGGGGUUCGUUGUUGGGUUUUGGUUUUGACAUUUUGGUGUAUUAUU